UACGGAAGGCAGCAGUGGGGAAUAUUGCACAAUGGGCGAAAGCCUGAUGCAGCUAUGCCGCGUGUAUGAAGAAGGCCUUAGGGUUGUAAAGUACUUUUCAUCGGGGAGGAAAAAACAAAACUAAUAAUUUUAUUUCUUGACGUUACCCGAAAAAGAAGCACCGGCUAACUCCGUGCCAGCAGCCGCGGCAAUACGGAGGGUGCUAGCGUUAAUCAGAAUUACUGGGCGUAAAGAGCACGUAGGUGGUUUUUUUAAGUUCAGAUGUGAAAUCCCUGGGCUUAACCUAGGAACUGCAUUUUGAAACUGAAAUACUAGAGUAUCGUAGAGGGAGGUAGAAUUCUAGGUGUAGCGGUGAAAUGCGUAGAUAUCUGGAGGAAUACCUGUGGCGAAAGCGGCCUCCUAAACGAAUACUGACACUGAGGUGCGAAAGCGUGGGGAGCAAACAGGGAUUAGAUACC
rnacentral:rRNA from 1 species